rnacentral:lncRNA from 1 species
GAACUUUCUUAGAUUUUUUUAGGAUUUGUUUAAGAUCUCUUUAGGAUUUAAUUAGGAUUUGAUUAAGAUUUACAUAGGAUUUGGUUAAAAUUUCAUUAAAUUUUGAUUAAGAUUUAGGAUUUUUUUAGAAUUGAUUUAAGAAUAUAUUAGAAUUUGGCUAGGAUUUCAUUAGGAUUUCAUUAGAAUUUGGUUAGGAUUUGGUUAGAAUUGGUUUAGAAUUCCAUUAGGAUUUAAUUAAUAUUUGAUUAGAAUUAGUUCAAAAUUUUAUAAGAAUUUAGUUAGGAUUAGAUUAAAGUUGGUUUAAAAUUUUAUUAAA